AUAAAAUCCUAUAAAUCGGAGACUCCUAAACAAAAAGCCCUAGCCUCAUACAUAGGGAGACAAGGGUGAAGGAAAAGCAAAUUAGUCGCUGCAAAGUAGAGCAGCAGUCAUCAAAGAUCCGAAGCUUUUUCAGAGACUAGAGCAAUUUGGUCACCUGGCUAAGCCAUUCUUCAUCACAUUGCUUAUCAUUUCAAAGGAUUGGGACUCAAUAGGGACGAGAGACAUGUCCCCUCAAUCUCCGGGUUUACUUAGAAGUUGAAAGUUUUGAUGGCAUGAGUGGAGUCGGAAAAAAGAAACUAAGGAUAUGAGUCGACGUGUGUCUGCUCAGGCCUCCAAAAAGGGCCGAGGUUCCACCUCUUCGGCGCCACCACCGCCACUGUCACCACCAUCCUCGCCACCACCAUCGGGUGACUUGCCACGGCCGGAGUGGGCUUCACGCCCUCUUCACAAGCUUACGCAGUUCAACAUUCCAUAUUUUCAGCGUGACACGGACACUACUUGGGUGGUCCAUAAGAAUGUCCUUUCACUUGGGCAUAGAGCUGAGCGCCGUUUGGAGUUUGUUCGGGUUUUACACUGUUAUCAGCAUGGCUAUCAGGUCUCGCUUGAGCAUAUCAUCUGGAUGCAUUUGCGGAAAUUUCUUCGAGAGGCAGUUCGGCCUGAACCUAUGCAGAACCUGACUUAACACUGUUAUUUGCCAAUUUGUUGACACUUGUGUUUGAGCUGAACGGCCUCCCCAUUGCUGAGAAUGAGGAGAUUGAUAGAGCGUAUCCGACUUUCGGUCAGCGGGAAUGGCAACAUAGCAUAUCUCGCAUCCCGUAGCAGGUUGGUGCCCCAGUUGAUGAGGCCCAGGACCCCGUACAUGACCACCCACCUCAUCCUGUUCCCCCCUCGCCUCUCCAAGGGGACCCACUCUACAUGACUCGCGAGGAGUACUUACAGCUUCAGCACUCUGUGGAUCAGGUCCACAGUACUCUUCGUGAUCACCACCAGAGUCUCAUGGAGUUGCGCAUGGAUUUUCAGGCGCAUCGAGACUGUUCUCAGGCGACCUUCGACCAGCUACACGCUCGCUAGCUCGACAUCCAGCAACGGGUUCAGGAUGAAGCCUUUGAGACGCGAUCUUUGAUGCAAGCCUUCUUUGCCCAGCAUUUCCCGCCACCACCGCCACCGGCUUCUCCGUAGUACCCACUGUACUAGCAUGGUUCUUGGGACGAAGACAGGGUGACGUAAGAAAACAACAACUGACCCAUGGCAUCACCCUCAGGAACAUCUGCACAUGUCAUUGUCACACCACAGACUUUAUCCGAUGAGACACAACCGCCGGAUGACACACAAACAUUUGUGGAAGAGACACAGGCGCACGGCGUAGGGAAAAGUACGUCAACUCGUGUAUGUGGUCCUACAGUCGGAAAAGGAGUGCAAAAAAGGAUUGUGAGAAAAAAAUGGGAGAAACUACAUGUAUAUGUCAAUCACAUGCUGAAUGCCCUCACUGGGGGGAAUGCCACGCCUGCAACAAAUGAGUUGGGCUUGUUGAUAAGGCGGUUGUGCCCUCUGAAGGGAGUGAAGUCAUGGAAGAAAAUUGAUCAGAGUAUCAAAGAUGCUGUAGUACAAGCUGUGACACGUUUGAAAGAAAUUGGUGAGGAUUUUCAUACUGAUCAGCAAGCUCAAGAGAUCGUUAAUGCGAAGGCGUAUCUCUUGUACAAGGAUUGGUGGUACACCCUAAAGUAACACUUAGAAAAACUUGUCAAAGAGGGUGUUGAUGACCUAUAUAGUCAUCCGCCUACAGGAGUUUGCUUGGAUGAUUGGAAACACAUGAUUGAUGUGGCUUAGAAGGAUGAUUCUCAUUUGAAACGCUCUAAAGCUGGUAAAGCAAACCGGAGUUUGCUACCAUACAAUCACACUAGUGGAUCUCGCUCCUUUCCAAUAGCAAUGUCGCUCAUGGUAGAUGAAAAUGGGGAGUUGGAUUUUUCAGAAUUUUAUUCCAAAUCACACAAAUCGAAGAAAACAAACGAAUGGAUUGAUCCCAAAUGUGGUGAGCUACAUGAUGCAAUGGUGAAUCUACAAGCGACAGCCACGGAUGCGGGGAUCCCAUUGACAUAGGAGGAACUCUCACGGCAAGUGCUUGGACAGAGAAAGAAUUACUUGCGUGGAUUUGGGAUAGGCCCACAACCCUAUUCGCCAUUUGAUAGUGCGGCACGAUCUCGUGACAAACAAAUGGAGGCAAUGCGAUCUGAGAUGGAGGUUCUUCACGAAAAUUUGAUGAAGGAGAAAGAAGAGCGCUAGACAGAUCGUGAAGAGAUGAUGAGGGAGAGAGAGGAGUUGAUGAAAGAAGUAGAAGGAAAAAAAGCAAGGGAGGCGCAACAAGAACAACUGAAUCAUUUGAACUUUGUGGUUUUACGACUCUCAACACUGUUGGAGGGUUCAGACGGUCAUCGUCGUAUUUGAUGACUUUGUUGCAUGGACUUGUGGAUAAUCCAUUUUGGUGUAUGGAGAAGAAAUUUCACUUUUGUAUAGAACUAAUAAAAUACUUUUGUCGUCUCCGGCUUUUGUGCAGUUCACUAUUACUAAUACAGAAAACUUUUGGCAGCCAACAGAUAAUUACUGGCAUGGUACAUAGAUCACCUUCUGUCACUGUACAUAUAUGAGUUUUUGUCGUGGUACAUAGAUGUACUUUUGUCUUGGUACAUACAUCACCUUUUGUCGUGGUACAGAUUACGAUGGUAAUUUGUACCAUGCCAAAUGGUCAUUUCACAUGGUAGUAAAUGUAAUUUUUGUAUACGGAGGGCUUUUAUUUUUGUAUGAUUCUAUAUUUUAUA